rnacentral:rRNA from 1 species
GAUGAACGCUGGCGGCGUGCCUAAUACAUGCAAGUCGAACGCAUUGAGAGAAGUGCUUGCACUUUUCAAUUUGGGUGGCGAACGGGUGAGUAACACGUGGGCAACCUACCUGAUAGCGGGGGAUAACGAGUGGAAACAUUCGCUAAUACCGCAUAACAAUAGAGAAGGCAUCUUCUUUAUUUAAAAGGCGCUUUCAAGCGUCACUAUCAGAUGGGCCCGCGGUUCAUUAGUUAGUUGGUGGGGUGAAGGCCUACCAAGACGAUGAUGCAUAGCCGAGUUGAGAGACUGAUCGGCCACAUUGGGACUGAGACACGGCCCAAACUCCUACGGGAGGCUGCAGUAGGGAAUCUUCCACAAUGGACGAAAGUCUGAUGGAGCAACGCCGCGUGUGUGAUGAAGGCUUUCGGGUCGUAAAGCACUGUUGUAUGGGAAGAAAUGCUAGGCUAGGAAAUGAGCUUAGUUUGACGGUACCAUACCAGAAAGGGACGGCUAAAUACGUGCCAGCCGCCGCGGUAA